rnacentral:rRNA from 1 species
AUUGAACGCUGGCGGCAGGCCUAACACAUGCAAGUCGAACGAGUGGCGGACGGGUGAGUAAUGUCUGGGCAACUGCCUGAUGGAGGGGGAUAACUACUGGAAACGGUAGCUAAUACCGCAUACCAUCAGAUGUGCCCAGAUUGGAUUAGCUAGUUGGUGGGGUAACGGCUCACCAAGGCGACGAUACCUAGCUGGUCUGAGAGGAAGACCAGCCACCCUGGAACGAGGACACGGUCCGAACUCCUACGGGAGGAGGCAGUGGGAAAUAUUGCACAAUGGGGGCAAGCCUGAUGCAGCCAUGCCGCGUGUAUGAAGAAGGCCUUCGGGUUGUAAAGUACUUUCAGCGGGGAGGCGUUACCCGCAGAGGAAGCACCGGCUAACUCCGUGCCAGCAGCCGCGGUAAUUC